rnacentral:rRNA from 1 species
GGCGUGCCUAAUACAUGCAAGUCGAGCGAACGGACGAGAGUGCUUGCACUCUCUGAUGUUAGCGGCGGACGGGUGAGUAACACGUGGGUAACCUACCUAUAAGACUGGGAUAACUUCGGGAAACCGGAGCUAAUACCGGAUAAUAUUUAGCUUCGCAUGAAGCAAUAGUGAAAGACGGUUCUGCUGUCACUUAUAGAUGGACCCGCGGUGUAUUAGCUAGUUGGUGAGGUAACGGCUCACCAAGGCAACGAUACAUAGCCCACCUGAGAGGGUGAUCGGCCACACUGGGACUGAAACACGGCCCACACUCCUACGGGAGGCAGCAUUAUGGAAUCUUCCCCAAUGGACGAAAGUCUGACGGAACAACGCGCCGUGACUGAAGAAGGGUUUCCGAACCGAAAACUCUGUUGGAAGGGAAGAACAAGUAGGUUAGUAACUGAAUGUACCUCGACGGUGCCUUACCUGAAAGCCACGGUUAGUUACGUGCCGCCAGCCGCGGUAAUACCUAUGUGGCAAGCGUUAUCCGAAAUUAUUGGCGCGUACAGCGCGCGUAGGCCCUCUCUUAUCUCUGAUGUGAAAGCCCCCGGC